AUAAUGUUUUACUUGUGGAAAGCAUCUUUUAACUUAUUUAAUAACGUUUAUGAACAUGCUAAUAAAAUAACGAGGGAGAAACCAAUUGAAUUGAAUUCUACGCUGAUUAUAGAACUUGCAAAAAAAAGGACUCUUUCUCCUGGAAUAAAGAACUACAACAUUAACCGUUGAAAAUAAAACAGUAAAAAAAAAAACGGUGUAACAAAAAGGCCAAGCGCCGGUAAACUGCAAACAUUACACGUCUUGGGAUAGACGUGACAUUCAUAGCUUAAAUUUGCCAUUAUAGCAAGUUAUUUUAAAGUAAAAUAAAUAGUUAUACAACUCUGACAAUGCUAUCAAUCCGUCUGCUAUCAGCCCUUGUUUUUUUAUUUACCGUUUCGCUUAACUAUAGUUCCGCUUUCGAUUCCCCUACAUUGCUAAGCAGUCCUGUACUAAAAGUGCUUAGUCUUUAUUACGGCAAAAAUAGAAAGGGUAAAUGCGUCCGUUUUUACAUCCCCAAAAACGUGGCAAGAAGAGACAUGAGUUCUCCUGCAUUAAUUCGCUACCGAAACAGAGUACCCUGCGUACCGGAUAUAAAUUUACAUUCUGGCGUGAGUCCACAAGAACAGUACGAAAAAAUGUUGAUCCAAGUUAAGAAAGAAGAAAACCAGCCAGGCAAAAAAAAGAGGAGAAGAGAAAGAAACCGUAUUAAACAUGAAAACGCUAAAAGGAAAGACAGGGAAUGGGUUCGACAAAGAGAAAUUGAAGCUGAGAAAAUAAAAAAAGAAGCCGAAAGAGACUUGCUGAUAACAAUUUCUGAAGAAAAAAGAAAAGCGGACGAGAGACUACGUGAAGAAAUGGAAAGCGUGUAUCGGAAUAGAACGCUCUAACUAUUUUAAACAUUCUUCAGUGGAGGAAGACAAAAAGAAAAAAAAAAAAAGGAAAGAUCCUGAAGAUAUCAUAUGAAAAAAAAAAUCCCAAUGAAGCACACAAUACCAGCGCUGCAGAAAAAAAUUAGUAUCUGCG